GAUGAACGCUAGCGGCAGGCUUAAUACAUGCAAGUCGUGGGGCAGCGCAGUGUAGCAAUACAUGGGCGGCGACCGGCAAACGGGUGCGGAACACGUACACAACCUUCCUACAAGUGGGGAAUAGCCCAGAGAAAUUUGGAUUAAUACCCCGUAACAUAUAAAGAUGGCAUCAUUUUUAUAUUAUAGCUACGGCGCUUGUUGAUGGGUGUGCGGCUGAUUAGGUAGUUGGCGGGGUAAUGGCCCACCAAGCCUGCGAUCAGUAGCUGAUGUGAGAGCAUGAUCAGCCACACGGGCACUGAGACACGGGCCCGACUCCUACGGGAGGCAGCAGUAAGGAAUAUUGGACAAUGGGCGCAAGCCUGAUCCAGCCAUGCCGCGUGAAGGAUUAAGGUCCUCUGGAUUGUAAACUCUUUUAUAA
rnacentral:rRNA from 1 species